rnacentral:rRNA from 1 species
CAGCAGCCGCGGUAAUACGAGGGGUGCAAGCGUUAUUCGGAUUGAUUGGGUGUAAAGGGUGUGCAGACGGCUUAUUAAGUCACUUGUUAAAUUCUUCGGCCUAACUGAAGGUCUGCAAGUGAUACUGAUGAGCUAGAGGGUGGAAGAGAGAAGUGGAAUUCUCGGAGUAGCGGUAAAAUGCGUAGAUCUCGAGAGGAACACCAAUGGCGAAGGCAGCUCCUUGGUCCAUUCCUGACGUUCAUACACGAAAGCGUGGGGAGCGAACAGGAUUAGAUACCCCAGUAGUCCCUGUCUCUUAUAC